rnacentral:rRNA from 1 species
AAAUUGAAGAGUUUGAUCAUGGCUCAGAUUGAACGCUGGCGGCAGGCCUAACACAUGCAAGUCGAACGGUAACAGGAAGCAGCUUGCUGCUUCGCUGACGAGUGGCGGACGGGUGAGUAAUGUCUGGGAAACUGCCUGAUGGAGGGGGGUAACUACUGGAAACGGUGGCUAAUACCGCAUAACGUCGCAAGACCAAAGAGGGGGACC